AUACGGAGGAUCCGAGCGUUAUCCAGAUUUAUUGGGUUUAAAGGGAGCGUAGGCGGGAGAUCAAGUCAGCUGUGAAAUGUAGAUGCUCAACAUCUGCACUGCAGUUGAAACUGGUUUUCUUGAGUGCGUAAGGGGCAGGCGGAAUUCGUCGUGUAGCGGUGAAAUGCUUAGAUAUGACGAAGAACUCCGAUCGCGAAGGCAGCCGGCCGGGCCGCGACUGACGCUGAAGCUCGAAGGUGCGGGUAUCGAACAGGAUUAGAUACCCUGGUAGUCCGCACAGUAAACGAUGGAUACUCGCUGUCGGCGAUAUACGGUCGGUGGCCAAGCGAAAGCGUUAAGUAUCCCACCUGGGGAGUACGCCGGCAACGGUGAAACUCAAAUGAAUUGGCGGGG
rnacentral:rRNA from 1 species